rnacentral:rRNA from 1 species
GGUAGCCGGCCUGAGAGGGUGNCCGGCCACACUGGGACUGAGAUACGGCCCAGACUCCUACGGGAGGCAGCAGUGGGGAAUAUUGCACAAUGGGCGCAAGCCUGAUGCAGCGACGCCGCGUGGGGGAUGACGGCCUUCGGGUUGUAAACCUCUUUCAGUAGGGACGAAGCGCAAGUGACGGUACCUACAGAAGAAGGACCGGCCAACUACGUGCCAGCAGCCGCGGUAAUACGUAGGGUCCGAGCGUUGUCCGGAAUUACUGGGCGUAAAGAGCUCGUAGGUGGUUUGUCGCGUUGUUCGUGAAAUCUCACAACUCAAUUGUGAGCGUGCGAGCGAUACGGGCAGACUGGAGUACUGCAGGGGAG